CUGAAGGAGGAGCUUGCUUCUCUGGAUGAGUUGCGAACGGGUGAGUAACGCGUAGGUAACCUGCCUGGUAGCGGGGGAUAACAAUUGGAAACGAUAGCUAACACCGCAUAAGAGUAGAUGUUGCAUGACAUUUGCUUAAAAGGUGCAAUUGCAUCACUACCAGAUGGACCUGCGUUGUAUUAGCUAGUUGGUGGGGUAACGGCUCACCAAGGCGACGAUACAUAGCCGACCUGAGAGGGUGAUCGGCCACACUGGGACUGAGACACGGCCCAGACUCCUACGGGAGGCAGCAGUAGGGAAUCUUCGGCAAUGGACGGAAGUCUGACCGAGCAACGCCGCGUGAGUGAAGAAGGUUUUCGGAUCGUAAAGCUCUGUUGUAAGAGAAGAACGAGUGUGAGAGUGGAAAGUUCACACUGUGACGGUAUCUUACCAGAAAGGGACGGCUAACUACGUGCCAGCAGCCGCGGUAAUACGUAGGUCCCGAGCGUUGUCCGGAUUUAUUGGGCGUAAAGCGAGCGCAGGCGGUUAGAUAAGUCUGAAGUUAAAGGCUGUGGCUUAACCAUAGUACGCUUUGGAAACUGUUUAACUUGAGUGCAAGAGGGGAGAGUGGAAUUCCAUGUGUAGCGGUGAAAUGCGUAGAUAUAUGGAGGAACACCGGUGGCGAAAGCGGCUCUCUGGCUUGUAACUGACGCUGAGGC
rnacentral:rRNA from 1 species